rnacentral:rRNA from 1 species
UCAGACGAUGCGUCAUGCAUAUCAAUAAGCGGAGGAAAAGAAACUAACAAGGAUUCCCCUAGUAACGGCGAGUGAAGCGGGGAAGAGCUCAAAUUUGAAAUCUUAAAGGGUUUCCCUUUACGAAUUGUAGUUUAAAGAAGUGUUUUCUGUUGAGGUUUUGGUAAAAGUUCUUUGGAAUAGGACAUCAUAGAGGGUGAGAAUCCCGUAUUUGACCUUUACUUUCAACUUUGUGAUACACUUUCAAAGAGUCGGAUUGUUUGGGAAUGCAGUCCAAAAUGGGUGGUAAAUUUCAUCUAAAGCUAAAUAUUGGCGAGAGACCGAUAGCGAACAAGUACCGUGAGGGAAAGAUGAAAAGAACUUUGAAAAGAGAGUUAAACAGUACGUGAAAGUUGUCAAAAGGGAAGCGUUUGACACCAGUGUUGUUUUUCUGAAAAUCAAUUAAAGAACUGUUUAUGCUAAGCUGUUUAGACUUUAUCAGCUAUCUGUUUAGUUUUGAGCUUUUCUUUAAUGCACUUUUCAGUUAACAAGUCAACAUCAAUUUCUUUUGCUGUAAAAAAGCUUGAGGAAGGUGGCUUGAGAUUCGUCUUAAGUGUUUAUAGCCUCUUGCCUAUGCAGUCGGAGAGAUUGAGGUCUGCAGCGUAGAUCCUUCGGGGCUAAAUGCAUUUGUGCUAAGUUAUAGCAUUUCAUAGACAACUUGUUGACUAUGAUUUGUCUUGUAGCUUACUCGCUUAUGUUAUUUUACCUACGCUUAGGAUGUUGAAUCUGUGCGAGACUAC